UACGGGGGGAGCAAGCGUUGUUCGGAUUUACUGGGCGUAAAGGGCGCGUAGGCGGCCACGACAAGUCACUUGUGAAAUCUCCGGGCUUAACUCGGAACGGUCAAGUGAUACUGUCGGGCUAGAGUGCGGAAGGGGCAACUGGAAUUCUCGGUGUAGCGGUGAAAUGCGUAGAUAUCAGGAGGAACACCGGUGGCGAAGGCGGCUACCUGGACAGAAACUGACGCUGAGGCGCGAAAGCUAGGGGAGCAAACAGG
rnacentral:rRNA from 1 species